rnacentral:rRNA from 1 species
CUGCUAAACGCGGCCCACUGGCGCUGUCAAGACGGAGGGUGCUAGCGUUAGCCGGAUUUAUUGGGUUUAAAGGUGCCGUAGGCGGACCGGUAAGUUCGUGGUGAAAGCCUACAGCUUAACUGUAGAACUGCCGUUGAUACUGUCGGUCUUGAGUGUGGUUGAGGUAGCUGGAAUGAGUAGUGUAGCGGUGAAAUGUAUAGAUAUUACUCAGAACACCAAUUGCGAAGGCAGGUUACCAAGUCACAACUGACGCUGAUGGACGAAAGCGUGGGGAGCGAACAGGAUUAGAUACCCGGUAGUC